GACGAACGCUGGCGGCGUACUUAACACAUGCAAGUCGAACGGUAAGGCCCUUCGGGGUACACGAGUGGCGAACGGGUGAGUAACACGUGGGUGAUCUGCCCUGCACUUCGGGAUAAGCCUGGGAAACUGGGUCUAAUACCGGAUAGGACUCCGGACUGCAUGGUCUGGGGUGGAAAGCUUUUGCGGUUUGGGAUGGGCCCGCGGCUUAUCAGCUUGUUGGUGGGGUGAUGGCCUACCAAGGCGACGACGGGUAGCCGGCCUGAGAGGGUGACCGGCCACACUGGGACUGAGGUACGGCCCAGACUCCUACGGGAGGCAGCAGUGGGGAAUAUUGCACAAUGGGCGCAAGCCUGAUGCAGCGACGCCGCGUGAGGGAUGACGGCCUUCGGGUUGUAAACCUCUUUCAGCAUCGACGAAGCGAAAGUGACGGUAGGUGCAGAAGAAGGACCGGCCAACUACGUGCCAGCCGCCGCCGUAA
rnacentral:rRNA from 1 species